AAAAAAAGAACAAAAGCCCCGUAACAACAUGUUGACAUUACAGGGCUUUUGUUCGGGAGCCACCGAAGUGACUCCCUCAUGGGAGAGGAGAAACCGGACGAAGAGCUUAUGGGGAAACGUAAGUCUUCUCCGCGG
rfam:Paenibacillus sp. Y412MC10, complete genome.